rnacentral:misc_RNA from 1 species
UGUUCGAGCGUCAUUACAACCCUCAAGCUCUGCUUGGUAUUGGGCUCUGCCAGUCCUGGCAGGCCUCAAAGUCAGUGGCGGUGCAUCCGGCUCCAAGCGUAGUAACUCUUCUCGCUUCGGAGGCCGCGGUGCGUGCUAGCAGACCAACCCCAUUUUUUCAGGUUGACCUCGGAUCAGGUAGGGAUACCCGCUGAACUUAA